UUAUAUUUUGGCAAUAUCAAAUAAGUCUACCAGAUUUCAGAACGUAUUCCCAGGACAUUUAUGUCCUAAUUCCUGGAUACAGACUUCUGACUAAGCAAGAUCUGACACUCAAACAGUGUUUGACAAACACCGUUGUCUUGUCGCGAGUAAACCUUAUUGUGUUGGCCUUGGUAAUUAUCUCACUUAGAAACUUACCAGGAUAUCGCGUCCGUCAAGGUCGUUCAAGGUCAUCAGAAGUGCCUUUUCAGCUGUAG
rnacentral:lncRNA from 1 species